rnacentral:lncRNA from 10 species
UUGACUCUGUUCUAAAGAACUGUAAGGAAGUUUCUAGCAUUUGAAGAGAGAUGCAGAAGAACCCAUUCAUUAUUGCAUCCAGCACCCAGAAAAGUUCCUAACACAUACACCGAGAGUGGUCAGCCAGAUGGGCGGGAACCAGUAUGCUGUUUCUGCUAUCCAGUACACCUUACCAAGAUUUCACAGAACCUCUGACUAAUACAGCAAUAUUGAUUUUAUCUAAAGGGAAUUACUUUUAAGAAAAUUUUCUCCUAAAUCGCCCUGGAAGAUGCUCUCUUGUUUAACCAAAUAGUGUUGAUUAAAAGGUUGAAAUGAAUGCUAAGUGAGCUGUUUUGUUUACUAGUGGAAACAAUUAUUUCUUCAGCCCUCGCCUUUCAUCUCCAUAAAUUAAUGCUCUUUUCUCUGUGCUUCAUUGACGGCUGGUGAAUUAUGCAAAUAUUUUUUCUGUAAGAAAUUAGAUAAAGUAGUCUCGAGACUUCUUAUAACAAG